rnacentral:rRNA from 1 species
AGAAUCAACGCUGGCGGCGUGCCUAGCACAUGCAAGUCGCACGAGAAAGGGACUUCGGUCCUGAGUAAAGUGGCGCACGGGUGAGUAACACGUGAAUAAUCUACCUCCGAGUGGGGAAUAACUGAGAGAAAUCUUAAGCUAAUACCGCAUAACACUUACGAGUCAAAGCAGCAAUGCGCUUGGAGAGGAGUUCGCGGCAGAUUAGUUAGUUGGCGGGGUAAUGGCCCACCAAGACGAUGAUCUGUA